GAGGAAUAUUGGUCAAUGGGCGAGAGCCUGAACCAGCCAUGCCGCGUGCAGGAAGACGGUCCUAUGGAUUGUAAACUGCUUUUAUUUGGGAAUAAACUCCGGUACGUGUACCGGCCUGAAGGUACCAAAUGAAUAAGCACCGGCUAACUCCGUGCCAGCAGCCGCGGUAAUACGGAGGGUGCAAGCGUUAUCCGGAAUCAUUGGGUUUAAAGGGUCCGCAGGCGGUCUUAUAAGUCAGUGGUGAAAGCCUACAGCUCAACUGUAGAACUGCCAUUGAUACUGUAAGACUUGAAUUCGAUCGAAGUGGGCGGAAUAUGACAUGUAGCGAUGAAAUGCUUAGAUAUGUCAUAGAACACCGAUAGCGAAGGCAGCUCACUAGGUCUGGAUUGACGCUCAGGGACGAAAGCGUGGGGAGCAAAC
rnacentral:rRNA from 1 species